rnacentral:tRNA from 2 species
GGACAGGUGUCCGAGUGGUCUAUGGUACAGUCCUGGAAAGACUGUGUGGUUAACGCCACCGUGGGUUCGAAUCCCACCCUGUCCGCCA